rnacentral:rRNA from 1 species
CCGGCGACCGGCGCACGGGUGAGUAACACGUAUGCAACCUGGCCGUGACAGAUGGAUAACCGGGAGAAAUCCCGCCUAAUACAACAUAAUGCCGGGAGGGGACAUCCCCUGCCGGCCAAAGGGGGCGACCCCGGUCACGGAUGGGCAUGCGGCGCAUUAGGUAGUUGGCGGGGCAACGGCCCACCAAGCCGACGAUGCGUAGGGGUUCUGAGAGGAAGGUCCCCCACAUUGGAACUGAGACACGGUCCAAACUCCUACGGGAGGCAGCAG